rnacentral:rRNA from 1 species
UACGUAGGGUGCAAGCGUUGUCCGGAAUUAUUGGGCGUAAAGAGCUCGUAGGCGGUUCGUCGCGUCGGCUGUGAAAACCCGGAGCUCAACUCCGGGCCUGCAGUCGAUACGGGCAGGCUAGAAUUCGGUAGGGGAGACUGGAAUUCCUGGUGUAGCGGUGAAAUGCGCAGAUAUCAGGAGGAACACCGGUGGCGAAGGCGGGUCUCUGGGCCGAUAUUGACGCUGAGGAGCGAAAGCGUGGGGAGCGAACAGG